rnacentral:rRNA from 1 species
UACGUAGGGGGCAAGCGUUGUCCGGAUUUAUUGGGCGUAAAGAGCGUGUAGGCGGCCAUACAGGUCAGCUGUGAAAACUCGAGGCUCAACCUCGAGACGUCGGUUGAAACCGUAUGGCUAGAGUCCGGAAGAGGAGAGUGGAAUUCCCGGUGUAGCGGUGAAAUGCGCAGAUAUCGGGAAGAACACCAAUGGCGAAGGCAGCUCGCUGGGACGGUACUGACGCUGAGACGCGAAAGCGUGGGGAGCAAACAGG